CACGUAGGGGGCGAGCGUUGUCCGGAUUUAUUGGGCGUAAAGAGCUCGUAGGCGGUUUCGUUAGUCGGGUGUGAAAACCCCAGGCUCAACCUGGGGACGCCACCCGAUACUGCGAUGACUAGAGUCCGGUAGGGGAGUGUGGAAUUCCUGGUGUAGCGGUGAAAUGCGCAGAUAUCAGGAGGAACACCAGUGGCGAAGGCGGCUUCCUGGACUAAUACUGACGCUGAGGUGCGAAAGCGUGGGGAGCAAACAGG
rnacentral:rRNA from 1 species